CACCAAGAUGAGUGGUGCAAAUCUGAUC
rnacentral:piRNA from 3 species